GAUGAAGAACGCAGCGAAAUGCGAUAAGUAGUGUGAAUUGCAGAAUUCAGUGAAUCAUCGAAUCUUUGAACGCACAUUGCGCCUCCUGGCAUUCCGGGAGGCAUGCCUGUUCGAGCGUCAUCAAACCCCAUCGUGCAAAUGAAUUAUUUUUUUUGCGCGGAAGUGACGAUUGAGCGAGAAUAACAAAUCCUCUCGCACCUCGUCGAAAUGAUUGCGGGCGGAAUUUGGGAUCGGGUUCCUCGGCGUAGUGUAUCAAUGCAUAUUUAUGCAACUUGCCGCGGAGUUGAGCCUGACCCACGCGUUCUCCCCGUACAAACACCUCAUUACUUUACAAGUUUUUGACCUCGGAUCAGGUAGGGAUACCCGCUGAACUUAAGCAUAUCAAUAAGCGGAGGA
rnacentral:misc_RNA from 1 species